rnacentral:lncRNA from 12 species
CCCGACCUCACCCGAAGAAGCAGUGUCCCCAGCACCCCGGGCCCUGCAGACCGGGUAGGCAGGCUCGACACUCCCCGGGGCCUGGGAUCCGGGGUCACUGCCUUCUGGACGCCACUUGCAGAAGCAAGUCAGCUCUCUCUACUGUCAGGCUGACUCCAGUCCGUGGAGGAGGGGGAAGGGCUCACAUACUGCAUAAAUGUCUUCAAGAUGGUCUGCUAGGAAGACAGCCAGAGCCACAUGUGAGAGCCAUCUGGUCCCUGGGAGUAUGGGGACCAGACCCGCGGCUUUUGCUUGUGGCUAAGGAAUUGCCACAGGCCACUGAACUUGGAAUCAAUUCCAGCUCUGCGUUUGGCUGCCUGGGUGACCUUGGGCUGGUCACUUCACCUCUCAGUCUCACCCAGCACGGAGAGCUUCGAGGUCGAAGCCAGGCUGUAGGAGUAGGACUGGUCUCUAAGUGACGGAGGAUCAUAGGUAAUGAGAUGAUGGGCAGGCUGAUGUGCUCACUGGUGCGAUGUGACUGGGGCAAAAGGACUGUCGGGGCAUGUGUCGGGUGUGUGUGUCAGAGCACCCCCGCGCUUCUGGAGGUAAAUAGAGGCAGGUGUCACCACAAGAGGGCGCGCUGAGCUCUUUUUGUCUUCUGGAUGAAAAAAAGUUUUCGUUUUUCUGUGGUUGCAUUGCAAGUCGAACUAAGACUUAAGGUUCUUGGUUUUCUUAAGUGAUUUAAUAAACUUAAAAACUCAGGUGCA